AUUGAACGCUGGCGGUAUGCUUUACACAUGCAAGUCGAACGGCAGCACGGGGCAACCUGGUGGCGAGUGGCGAACGGGUGAGUAACAUAUCGGAACAUGUCCGGAAGUGGGGGAUAACGUACCGAAAGGUACGCUAAUACCGCAUAUGCCCUGAGGGGGAAAGGGGGGGAUCGCAAGACCUCUCGCUUUCGGAGUGGCCGAUAUCGGAUUAGCUAGUAGGUGAGGUAAAGGCUCACCUAGGCGACGAUCCGUAGCUGGUCUGAGAGGGCGACCAGCCACACUGGAACUGAGACACGGUCCAGACUCCUACGGGAGGCAGCAGUGGGGAAUUUUGGACAAUGGGCGCAAGCCUGAUCCAGCCAUACCGCGUGAGUGAAGAAGGCCUUCGGGUUGUAAAGCUCUUUCAGCCGGAAAGAAAUCGCACUGGUUAAUACCUUGUGUGGAUGACGGUACCGGAAGAAGAAGCACCGGCCAACUACAUGCCAGCAGCCGCGGUAA
rnacentral:rRNA from 1 species